rnacentral:rRNA from 1 species
UGGCGACCGGCGCACGGGUGAGUAACACGUAUCCAACCUGCCGAUAACUCGGGGAUAGCCUUUCGAAAGAAAGAUUAAUAUCCGAUAGGAUAUCAAGAUCGCAUGAUCUUGAUAUUAAAGAAUUUCGGUUAUCGAUGGGGAUGCGUUCCAUUAGUUAGUUGGCGGGGUAACGGCCCACCAAGACGACGAUGGAUAGGGGUUCUGAGAGGAAGGUCCCCCACAUUGGAACUGAGAUACGGCCCAGACUCCUACGGAAGGCAGCAG